rnacentral:tRNA from 21 species
GGGGCCAUAGCUCAGCUGGGAGAGCGCAACACUGGCAGUGUUGAGGUCGACGGUUCGAUCCCGUCUGGCUCCACCA